GUCUCUUAAAGCAUAAAUUUAAUUCAGCUUUCUGAGAAAGAAGCUUAACUAUUAUGAAUUAAUGUGUUCUAUCUACUCAUUCUGCUACACCAAUGGCCUGGGAGAAAGUUGAGGACAGACAUUCAAGUUUACUGCGUGGAAGAAGGCAAUGCUGUCAGCAUUGCCGAUCCGUCCAUGUGCAGACGGUGGACCCGGAGGAGGAUUCGGCGACCAGGGUGGCCUCGGCUCCCGGAGCGCUGAAACCACCGUCCCGACUGAGGCGGCGAGGAGGCCGCCGCGGUGAGGAGGCCAGAGAUGAGGCGGCAGAACGAGGGCUCCCAUUACUAUCGAAGAAGUCGUGCCAAUUUUACAGUCCCUUAUCAUUAAAUGAAUGGCUGCCAAUUGACAAGCCAGUUCAAACGUUGA